AUGUCACGUUGAAACACCGGUUCUUGUACGAUCACAGAAGUUAAACAAAGUCGAGACUGGUCAGUACCUAUAUGGGUGACCGCUUGAGAAUACCAAGGUGCUGUAAG